GGGUCAGUAGGUUGGUCGUGCCACCGGUACGUACUGGUCUCACUGAUCCCUCCUUCCUGAAGAACCGUAAUGCCAUUAAUUUGGUGUUGCGGGGAGACAGGACUGUUACUUUGAAAAAAUUAGAGUGUUUAAAGCAAGCUAACGCUUGAAUACAUUAGCAUGGAAUAAUGAAAUAGGACGAUCGAUCCUAUUUUGUUGGUUUCUAGGAUUGACGUA
rnacentral:rRNA from 1 species